rnacentral:piRNA from 1 species
UGAUACUUUGAUUUUAUAAUUAGCAAUGUUU